rnacentral:rRNA from 1 species
GAUGAACGCUAGCGGCAGGCUUAACACAUGCAAGUCGAGGGGUAUAGGUUUUCGGAUCUAGAGACCGGCGCACGGGUGCGUAACGCGUAUGCAAUCUACCUUUCACAGAGGGAUAGCCCAGAGAAAUUUGGAUUAAUACCUCAUAGUAUUAUAGAAUGGCAUCAUUUUAAAUUAAAGUCACAACGGUGAAAGAUGAGCAUGCGUCCCAUUAGCUAGUUGGUAUGGUAACGGCAUACCAAGGCAACGAUGGGUAGGGGUCCUGAGAGGGAGAUCCCCCAACUGGUACUGAGACACGGACCAGACUCCUACGGGAGGCAGCAGUGAGGAAUAUUGGUCAAUGGGCGCAAGCCUGAACCAGCCAUGCCGCGUGCCAGGAUGACGGUCCUAUGGAUUGUAAACUGCUUUUGCACAGGAAGAACAACGCUACGUGUAGCGUCUGACGGUACUGUAGAGAAUAAGGAUCGGCUAACGUCCGUGCC